rnacentral:rRNA from 1 species
GAUGAACGCUAGCGGCGCGCCUAACACAUGCAAGUCGAGCGGACUUGGGAGGCUUGCUUCCCAAGUUAGCGGCGAACGGGCGAGAACAGAGUUCGUACCUGCCCCGAAGUCGGGAAUAACGCGCCGAAAGGCGCGCUAAUGCCGGAUGGACCCGAGAGGGUAAAGCAGCAAUGCGCUUCGGGGAGGGGCGUGCUUCCUAUCAGCUAGUCGGCGGGGUAACGGCCCACCGAGGCGACGACGGGUAGCCGGUCUGAGAGGACUGCCGGCCGCAAUGGGACUGAGACACGGCCCAUACUCCUACGGGAGGCAGCAGUGAGGAAUCUUCCGCAAUGGGCGAAAGCCUGACGGAGCGACGCCGCGUGGAGGAUGAAGCGUUUGUUCGCGUAAACUCCUUUUCUGCGGGAAAAUGAUGAUGGUACCGCAGGAAUAAGGGACGGCUAACUACGUG